UACGUGGGGUGCAAGCGUUAAUCGGAAUUACUGGGCGUAAAGCGUGCGCAGGCGGUUAUGUAAGACAGAUGUGAAAUGCCCGGGCUUAACCUGGGAACUGCAUUUGUGACUGCAUGGCUAGAGUUUGGCAGAGGGGGGUAGAAUUCCACGUGUAGCAGUGAAAUGCGUAGAUAUGUGGAGGAACACCGAUGGCGAAGGCAGCCCCCUGGGUCAAGACUGACGCUCAUGCACGAAAGCGUGGGGAGCAAACAGG
rnacentral:rRNA from 1 species